rnacentral:rRNA from 1 species
CUACGGGGUGCUGCAGUGGGGAAUAUUGGACAAUGGGGAAACCCUGAUCCAGCAAUGCCGCGUGUGUGAAGAAGGCCUGCGGGUUGUAAAGCACUUUCGGUUGGGAGGACUGCUUCUAGCACUAAUAUUGUUGGAAGUUGACGUUACCUUCAGAAGAAGCACCGGCUAACUCCGUGCCAGCAGCCGCGGUGAAUACGGAGGGUGCAAGCGUUAAUCGGAAUUACUGGGCGUAAAGCGCGCGUAGGCGGCUAGAUCAGUCGGGUGUGAAAGCCCCGGGCUUAACCUGGGAACUGCAUCCGAUACUGUCUAGCUUGAGUACAGGAGAGGAGAGUGGAAUUCCACAUGUAGCGGGGAAAUGCGUAGAUAUGUGGAGGAACACCAAUGGCGAAGGCAGCUCUCUGGCCUGAUACUGACGCUGAGGUGCGAAAGCGUGGGGAGCAAACAGGAUUAGAUACCCUUGUAGUC